rnacentral:rRNA from 1 species
AGCAUGUGGUUUAAUUUCGAUGAUACGCGAGAAACCUUACCAGGGCUUGACAUAUACAGGAAUGUUGUAGAGAUACAGCAGCCGCUUGCGGUCUGUAUACAGGUGCUGCAUGGCUGUCGUCAGCUCGUGCUGUGAAGUGUUGGGUUAAGUCCCGCAACGAGCGCAACCCUAUCAUCUGUUGCCAGCAUUUAAGGUGGGGACUCAGAUGAGACUGCCGGUGACAAACCGGAGGAAGGUGGGGACGACGUCAAGUCAUCAUGGCCCUUAUGUCCUGGGCUACACACGUGCUACAAUGGCCGGUACAGAGUGAAGCGAAACCGCGAGGUGAAGCAAAACGCAGAAAGCCGGUCUCAGUACGGAUUGGAGUCUGAAACUCGACUUCAUGAAGUUGGAAUCGCUAGUAAUCGCGCAUCAGCAUGGCGCGGUGAAUACGUUCCCGGGCCUU